AUGAACGCUGGCGGCGUGCCUCAUACCUGCAAGUCGCGCGAACAGACGAGGAGCUUGCUCCUCUGACGUUAGCGGCGGACGGGUGAGUAACACGUGGAUAACCUACCUAUAAGACUGGGAUAACUUCGGGAAACCGGAGCUAAUACCGGAUAAUAUAUUGAACCGCAUGGUUCAAUAGUGAAAGACGGUUUUGCUGUCACUUAUAGAUGGAUCCGCGCCGCAUUAGCUAGUUGGUAAGGUAACGGCUUACCAAGGCAACGAUGCGUAGCCGACCUGAGAGGGUGAUCGGCCACACUGGAACUGAGACACGGUCCAGACUCCUACGGGAGGCAGCAGUAGGGAAUCUUCCGCAAUGGGCGAAAGCCUGACGGAGCAACGCCGCGUGAGUGAUGAAGGUCUCCGGAUCGUAAAACUCUGUUAUUAGGGAAGAACUAAUGUGUAAGUAACUAUGCACGUCUUGACGGUACCUAAUCAGAAAGCCACGGCUAACUACGUG
rnacentral:rRNA from 1 species